rnacentral:rRNA from 1 species
GACGAACGCUGGCGGCGUGCUUAACACAUGCAAGUCGAACGGAAAGGCCCUGCUUUUGUGGGGUGCUCGAGUGGCGAACGGGGGAGUAACACGUGAGUAACCUGCCCUUGACUUUGGGAUAACUUCAGGAAACUGGGGCUAAUACCGGAUAGGAGCUCCUGCUGCAUGGUGGGGGUUGGAAAGUUUCGGCGGUUGGGGAUGGACUCGCGGCUUAUCAGCUUGUUGGUGGGGUAGUGGCUUACCAAGGCUUUGACGGGUAGCCGGCCUGAGAGGGUGACCGGCCACAUUGGGACUGAGAUACGGCCCAGACGGCUACGGGAGGCAGCAGUGGGGAAUAUUGCACAAUGGGCGGAAGCCUGAUGCAGCAACGCCGCGUGCGGGAUGACGGCCUUCGGGUUGUAAACCGCUUUCGCCUGUGACGAAGCGUGAGUGACGGUAAUGAGUAAAGAAGCACCGGCUAACUACGUG